UACGUAGGGGGCAAGCGUUGUCCGGAUUCAUUGGGCGUAAAGAGCGUGUAGGCGGCCAGGUAGGUCGGUUGUGAAAGCUGGAGGCUCAACCUUCAGAGGUCGACCGAAACCAUCUGGCUAGAGUCCGGGAGAGGAGAGUGGAAUUCCUGGUGUAGCGGUGAAAUGCGCAGAUAUCAGGAAGAACACCCGUGGCGAAAGCGGCUCUCUGGAACGGUACUGACGCUGAGACGCGAAAGCGUGGGGAGCGAACAGG
rnacentral:rRNA from 1 species